UACGGAGGGUGCGAGCGUUGUCCGGAUUUAUUGGGCGUAAAGAGCUCGUAGGCGGCUCGUCGCGUCGACCGUGAAAACCCGCGGCUUAACUGCGGGCUUGCGGUUGAUACGGGCGGGCUAGAGUUCGGUAGGGGAGACUGGAAUUCCUGGUGUAGCGGUGAAAUGCGCAGAUAUCAGGAGGAACACCGGUGGCGAAGGCGGGUCUCUGGGCCGAUACUGACGCUGAGGAGCGAAAGCGUGGGGAGCGAACAGG
rnacentral:rRNA from 1 species